GACGGGAGAUGCAAGCGUUAUUCGGAUUUAUUGGGCGUAAAGGGUCUGUAGGUUGUCAAUUAAGUCUAUGGUCAAAUUCCGAAGCUCAACUUCGGGCCGGCACUAGAAACUAAUUGACUUGAGUACGUUAGAGGCAGGGGGAAUUCCCAGUGUAGCGGUGAAAUGCGUAGAUAUUGGGAGGAACAUCAAUGGCGAAGGCACCCUGCUAGGCCGAUACUGACACUGAAAGACGAAAGCUAGGGGAGCAAAUGGGAUUAGAUACCCCAGUAGUCCUAGCUGUAAACGAUGGGGACUAAACUUUGGUUUUAAACAGAGUUAAAGCUAACGCGUUAAGUCCCCCGCCUGGGGAGUACGCCCGCAAGAGUG
rnacentral:rRNA from 1 species